UGUGUAGGUGGCUGAGCAAGUCAAAGAUGAAAUCCCAAGGCUCAACCUUGGAAUUGUCUUUGAAACUGUUUAGCUUGAGGAUAGCUGAGGAGAAUGGAAUUCCCGGUGGAGCGGUGAAAUGCGUAGAUAUCGGGAGGAACACCAGAGGCGAAGGCGAUUCUCUAAGCUAUUCCUGACACUGAGACACGAAAGCUAGGGUAGCAAACG
rnacentral:rRNA from 1 species